rnacentral:rRNA from 1 species
CAAACCGAGGAAAAGAAACCAACAGGGAUUGCCCCAGUAGCGGCGAGUGAAGCGGCAAGAGCUCAGAUUUGAAAUCGUGUCUUUGGCACGAGUUGUAGAGUGUAGGCGGGAGUCUUUGUGGAGCACGGUGUCCAAGUCCCUUGGAACAGGGCGCCUGAGAGGGUGAGAGCCCCGUGGGGUGCCGUGCGAAGCUUUGAGGCCCUGCUGACGAGUCGAGUUGUUUGGGAAUGCAGCUCCAAGUGGGUGGUAAAUUCCAUCUAAGGCUAAAUACUGGCGAGAGACCGAUAGCGAACAAGUACUGUGAAGGAAAGAUGAAAAGCACUUUGAAAAGAGAGUGAAACAGCACGUGAAAUUGUUGAAAGGGAAGGGUAUUGGGCCCGACAUGGGGAGUGCGCACCGCUGUCUCUUGUAGGCGGCGCUCUGGGCGCUCUCUGGGCCAGCAUCGGUUCUUGCUGCGGGAGAAUGGGUGCCGGAAAGUGGCUCUUCGGAGUGUUAUAGCCGGCGCCAGAUACCGCGUGCGGGGACCGAGGACUGCGGCUUCGUCUCGGAUGCGCCAUGAUUGAAUCAAAAGCAAACCGG